rnacentral:rRNA from 1 species
GACGAACGCUGGCGGCAUGCCUAAUACAUGCAAGUCGAGCGAACAGACGAAGUACUUGUACUUCUGACGUUAGCGGCGGACGGGUGAGUAACACGUAAGGAAUCUACCUAUAAGCGGGGGAUAACAUUCGGAAACGGAUGCUAAUACCGCAUAACAUUUACUUCCGCAUGGAAGUAAAUUGAAAGACGGCUCUGCUGUCACUUAUAGAUGACCUUGCGGUGCAUUAGUUAGUUGGUGGGGUAAUGGCCUACCAAGACGAUGAUGCAUAGCCGACCUGAGAGGGUGAUCGGCCACAUUGGGACUGAGACACGGCCCAAA